rnacentral:rRNA from 1 species
UACGUAGGUGGCAAGCGUUGUCCGGAAUUACUGGGUGUAAAGCGCGCGUAGGCGGUAGGCCAAGUCGGUCGUGAAAUCCCUCGGCUCAACCGAGGAACGUCGAUCGAUACUGCUGUUCUUGAGGAUUGCAGAGGAGACUGGAAUUCCCGGUGUAGCGGUGAAAUGUGUAGAGAUCGGGAGGAACACCGGUGGCGAAGGCGGGUCUCUGGGCAAUUCCUGACGCUGAGGCGCGAAAGCGUGGGGAGCAAACGGG